GGGGGGGACGGAGGAGAGAACACACCAGGGAGACACCUCAAACUCUACUCCUUUCUACCCCCUCCAUCAUCUACUGACUUGAUUGUCGGAGGGGUCGGGUCGAGCCACCUGACUCGACCUAUGUGUAGGACGACAGACGGAGCACGUGCCCAGCUGAGGAGCCCCCUCCGACGGAGACGACUGACCCCGUUCUGAUCGGACCGCCACAAUCGACCACCUCGGCGAACCCGAGGGCCACACCGGGAAGAUCCCGCCAUCCGGACCCGAACCGAGCCGCAUCGGCCCCGAGGCCACGGCUCCAGGUUGUUUACCACAACAAUUAUAAUGACCGACGGUGUACUCCUACCAGCUUCUAUGUCAACAAAACAAGCCUUUGUGCUGAAAGCAACGGCGUUGGAUUGUGCACGUAGGCGUUCGAGUUGGGUCGGAUUCGUGGCCAACAGUAACCCAAUCUUCGGUGCGAAUCGAUCCUACUAACCCAAUCCAGUGAAUGAAUGUGCGAUUGAGCAUGCCAUGGCACCUAAAGUCAAACGCACAGAAGAACUUACCAGUUGAGAGCCUGUUUCAUUUCCAAGUCAAACACACAUCCUUGCAAGAUUCAACCAUUACACGAGAACAAGAUUCAUGUGCAUUUCACAUGCCCUGAACGGCUGAAGCCACCGGAAUCAACACCGUCCCCAUAAGUGCAUUUCCGAGUUCUUAGCCGAUGGUGCAACCUGUGGUGUACGUGUGCCAUGAGCAACAGUUCAAAAUAAUAUAAUUCACAUUCCUUUAAUUAUUAUUUUUUCUUCUCCUCUCGUCGGUAAAUUAAUUGUUUGGAAAAUAUUAUGGUCGAUACACCAAAAGAAAAAAAAAAAGGAAAAAUUCUACUUCAUACCUCUUCGAUAUCUGUCUGGAUUAUCUGCAUGUUGGAUCUCACCGCUUGCCUACACAGUGCAGCGAUAUCCAGAUAGAUAGAAACGGAUCAAAG
rnacentral:lncRNA from 1 species